UGAGGAAUAUUGCGCAAUGGGCGAAAGCCUGACGCAGCGACGCCGCGUGGAGGAUGAAGGUCUUCGGAUUGUAAACUUCUGUUAAGUGGGAAGAAAGAGCCGUUUUUAAUAGAGACGGUAAAUGACGGUACCAUUAAAGAAAGCACCGGCUAAACUCGUGCCAGCAGCCGCGGUAAUACGAGUGGUGCAAGCGUUAUUCGGAAUAAUUGGGCGUACAGGGUGUGUAGGCGGCAUGUUAAGUCUGUUGUUAAAUUCUCCAGCCUAACUGGAGACAGGCAGCGGAAACUGGCGUGCUAGAGGGUGGAAGAGAGAAGUGGAAUUCUCGGUGUAGCGGUAAAAUGCGUAGAUAUCGAGAGGAGCACCGAUGGCGAAGGCAGCUUCUUGGUCCAUUCCUGACGCUGAAACACGAAAGCGUGGGGAGCAAACA
rnacentral:rRNA from 1 species